rnacentral:lncRNA from 1 species
GAGAGACCAAUUCCUAUCUGAUUUAUUUGUGAGUUUCGAAACCCCAACUCUACUCUUUAGGAUCUCAUUCGCCGCCCACUAAAGAAGAAAUUUUUGUUCCUGUAGAACACCCAAUUUGAAAGCAAAGCAAGUCCAUAGAAACUGGGGUCUUCACAAACCCUUCAAACAAGCUAAAGGGAGUCCGCUACUCCACCCGCCAGGAAACUUACGGGGUGGGUUUAGCGGGGUGAGAGCGGAUUAAAGUUCCAGACUUUAUUCACAUUCAUACGUAGUAGAUGUAGUAGAUCUGCCAUGCGGGUUUCUUCUGGCGAUUCUGAAUCUUUGGAUAUUCUUUAAGAGCUUAUUCUCUAAGGAUGACUGAAGGUGGAGAAUCGAAGCACAAUCGGACCCGCCGAGAAUUAGUAUGCCAUGCCGGCGCUGGCGCCGCUGCAGGUCUGGUUGAAUCAUCCUUUCAAAUUAUCAGUGUAUUUGUUCCUCGAAAGACUUGAUAUGCUUGAGUUUCUUGUUCCUCGAAAGCUGAUCCUUGUGAAAAUUCGUGAUGAAUGAGUAGUUCUUUGUUUGUGACCUGUGUUCUAUUGAUUGUAUCGCUUAUGCAAAGGGCAAGUUUUGGUCUUGGAUUAGGCAUUUCCGGUUAUGAGAUUUUUUGGGGACAAAUUCGCAGGUUCUAUUGCAGCGACAUUCGUGUGCCCAUUGGAUGUUAUCAAGACAAGAUUACAGGUCCAUGGAUUGCCUGUAUCAGCACAUUCUGCUGGCGGCCGAGGUAUCUAUGCAAUUUUGGCUAAUUGGCUUCUAAUUUGUGGCUGGGCUCUUGUCAUUUUCAUUGAACUAAUCUUAGUUAGUAAUUCUGUACGAUAAGAAUGAAUGAUGCAUUCUUAUUUGAUUAUUCUGUGUAACCAAAUUUCAUUCUCUCCUUAGUUCUCUUGCUUCAGUUGUUUGAUUGAUAAUAUCUGCUUUAUAUAGUGGACAAGUGGACUGCAAUCUGGAUCUCUAAGCUGAAUUAUAGAUUCCUUAGCCUUUCCUCUUCCAGUCAGUGCAAUGCUGGUCCCGGUCUUUCGAGUUUUGGAUGUUUUAUCUGCCCUUAUCCGAUAGGCAUCCCCUUAAUUAGAUUUUCUGGAGAAUCGUUUUCUGGCCUUUUUUCUUGCAUCGAUUGUGUAUGUUACAAUUUGCAAUUUUUUUUGUACUUUACGCUCUUCUUUAUCAUUUAUGCUCAGGU